rnacentral:rRNA from 1 species
AUUGAACGCUGGCGGCAUGCCUUACACAUGCAAGUCGAACGGCAGCGGACCUUCGGGUGCCGGCGAGUGGCGAACGGGUGAGUAAUAUAUCGGAACGUACCUUUCAGUGGGGGAGUAACGUAGCGAAAGUUACGCUAAUACCGCAUAUUCUGUGAGCAGGAAAGCAGGGGAUCGCAAGACCUUGCGCUGAUUGAGCGGCCGAUAUCAGAUUAGCUAGUUGGUGAGGUAAAGGCUCACCAAGGCGACGAUCUGUAGCGGGUCUGAGAGGAUGAUCCGCCACACUGGAACUGAGACACGGUCCAGACUCCUACGGGAGGCAGCAGUGGGGAAUUUUGGUACGAAUGGGCGGCAAGACCUCGAUCCACGCCACUGCCGCCGUGAGUGGAAGAAAGGCCGUCGUUGGUUAGGU